rnacentral:rRNA from 1 species
UACGGAGGGUGCAAGCGUUAUCCGGAUUCACUGGGUUUAAAGGGUGCGUAGGUGGGUUGGUAAGUCAGUGGUGAAAUCUCCGAGCUUAACUUGGAAACUGCCAUUGAUACUAUCAGUCUUGAAUAUUGUGGAAGUCAGCGGAAUAUGUCAUGUAGCGGUGAAAUGCUUAGAUAUGACAUAGAACACCAAUUGCGAAGGCAGCUGGCUAGACAUAUAUUGACACUGAGGCACGAAAGCGUGGGGAUCAAACAGG